CUUGAACGAUGAACGCAAGCAAUUAACAGUUUUGGCCGCCCCAUUGGUGCUCUAUUCUGCUGGAAGCAACAGUCACUUGAGCUCUUUCUCCUUCCUCCUCUCUCUCCCACAUUCUCAUACAAUCAUGUAUACAAACAAUAAUGGUAAUAUUAGUGAAGGUGAAGUUGAAUUUGAUGUAAACAGAGUGUUUAUAGGAGCAGGAUGCAACAGGAUAGUGAACAACGUUUCUUGGGGCGCUUGUGAUUUGGUUUCUUUCGGUGCCUAGAACGCCGUAGCUAUAUUCUGCCUCAGGUCCCUGCCCCUCUCUUUUUCGUCUUUGAAACUUAUACUAUGAUCUUGUGCUCCAACUUCUUUCCUUUCUUUCAACAAUUUUGUGGAGCAGACUGCUCAGAUUUGACUACUCUUCCGGCUCAUAAGGCAUCCGACAACUGCACCCACUGGGUUCCAAGCAACAUGUUAGUUUUUAGAGCAGAACACUUGGAGCAGCGUUAUCUGCUGUCUGGAGAUGCUGAUGAUGCCAUUAUUCUUUGGAAAUUAUCUCUUGCUAACAAUAAGUGGAGACAGGUGUUACAAUAACCACAGUUACACAAGAAGGGUGUUACAUGCUUCACUGGAAUUAUGAUUUCUCAAACUAAAGCAAUCUUUACAUCUACUUCUUCAGAUGGCACAGUUUGUUUAUGGGAACUGCUCCUCCCUUUUCUCCUUGAGUUUAAAAAUUAAUGAUGUUGUGCUAAAAGGAUUUCUGCACAAGAGACAUGCAUAUUCUUGAUUUCAAAGUUAGAUGUCAUGACAAUCCAGAUACUUCUUCUCAGCUCUACUAAAGUAGAGUAUAUAACAAAAGAUGUUUUCUGUGAUGAUGCAAGAGAUACCAACAUUCUUCUUGUUUUGAGGUAACAAAUAUUUUUGUAACAAAUGUAAAAUAAAAUUGUAAUCUUCCAUUAAAUUUAAGUUAAGAUGUGUUCGAACCUAGGAAUCAUGAUUGCAAUGCAGAGUGCAACUGAACUACAAGCUUUGGCAUCUUAACAGUGCUUGGAUUCUUAACACAUAUCUAGCACCCGUGUUAUUUGGUACUAUUCUGCAUUAAUAUUUUAUAUCCGAUUCUGGGUUCCAUAAAAUGUUUAUGCAAAAGCUGCAUGCUUGCUAUCAUCUGUAAAAGAGUUGAAUAUACUAUUUUUUGUGACAGCCUCUGUUUGUUUUAGGUCAAUGCAAAUUGUCAUGUCUAGAGACCCUCUUUGUUGGUUCAAAGCCUAUGGUUGCUCUAUCAUGGGCAGAAAAGUACCUGGAACUUCUGGGUAUAUAGUCCUUGCAAUGGGGGGACUAGAUAGCAGGGUCCAUCUUCACUGCAGAGAGAGGACAGGAAACUUUAUUCGUGCUUGUGAGUUGAAAGCACAUGCCAAUUGGAUCCAGAGUUUGGACUUCGCAUUACCUAUACUUAUGGAUGGUGAAGCAUAUAGCAUUCUGCUAGUAAGUUCAUCUCAUGACAAAGGCAUAUGCAUAUGGUAGAUGGCUUUACAAGGUUCAAUAGCCAAUAAUGAGGGUGCAUACAGGAAAGAAGAAAUAAGUCUGGCAUCUUAUACUGAAGGUCCUAUAGCUGGCUCAUCCUCUCAUCAGAUAUCAUUAGAAUCUCUUCUAAUAGAACAUGAGGACUGGGUAUACUCAGUAGAGUGCCAACCCCCUUUUACUGCAUCUGUGGAAGGGAUUACCUACCAUCAACCUCAAAACAUUUUAUCUACUUCAAUGGACAAGACCAUGAUGAUUUGGCAACCUGAAAGGAAAAAUGGUAUCUGGUAAUCUGAAUGAAUGUGGUCACUGUUGGGGAUUUAAUUCAUUCUGCUAUAGGGUUUUAUGGGGAUCACUGGAGCUUAGAUGGAAAAUCAAUUUUAGCACAUGGAUAUGGUGGAGCUUUCCAUUUAUGAAAAAUUGUUGGUGUCAACAUGGAUGAUUGCCAACAACAAAAGGUUCUAUCUGGGCACUUUGCUGUUGUGACAGACAUUGAAUGGGCAUUGUCUGGUGAAUACAUAUAUCAGUUAGUCAUGACCAGAUGAUUUUUUUUUCACAUGCUACCGAGUAGUUUCUUGAGUAAGCUUGUCAUUUAUUAAGUAUCUAGUUACAGGUUUAUGGUUCUGAGUGUAGUUAGAGGAUUAACUGUUGUAUCGAAAGAGAUAGUCUAUUUUCUGCCUGACAAACUGUACAAAGUGAAAAGCUAAAGCAUCUUACAUUUAUUGAACCAGUUGAUGGAUAUAAUUUUGAAUUCUGUUGUUACUUCUUAAUGUGGCAAAGACCAAGUGAGGAGGUAUACAAAUUCAUUUAAUGUCACAGGCUUUUUAAAGAGAUUAUAUUUAAGGUUCAUACUAUAAAAGUAUACAGUAUGUCUAUACAGCAACAACU
rnacentral:misc_RNA from 1 species